UACAUACAUCUUUAAAGAAAAGAGAACGGUUGGAACCCUGUAUUACAGGUAAAACAGCAGGAUGUAGGGUUCUUCAUAGAACCUUUAAAUAUUCCUCCAGAUACUGCCCCCCCCCCUCCCCCCCAGUAAGUGAGUCCUGUUUCACUAGAGGAAGUCAGUGUAUAUAAAAUGAAUCCAUCAUAUCAGAGCAAAGUACAAUAUAUACUGUAUGAGGCAUGUGCCGAUGUUGUCACGGUAACUGUGCAAGUUUUUAAUCACGCGUUCACAAUACUAUAAUUUAACGUCAUUUCCAAAUUUACAAACUGCCUAACAAGGUUCCCUACACCAAACAAUCCUUGGGUAGUGAUGGUGUAAUAAAGCCUCCUUGAUAACACGCUUAUAUCAAGGAUACUCUGAAGCGUUUAAACAAUCAGAGGCUUCGUAAAUAUUUCUUGAUGAUAUAAAAAAUAAACUUGCGGCUGGUUUCAAACUGUUGCUAUCAAUACAUUUCGUAAGGUUGUUCUUCUUUUUUCUUUUUCUACACACUCUUUGUUUACCGUGGCAAAAAGUGAAGACGUCUUUGAACCAGGAAAAUAGAGACGAAACGAGAGAUGACUAAUCUGAGACGGAGAGAAAGGGGCGGGGCCUCCAAGUGGUCAGUUCAUAUCAGAGAGUUCACACCUAAUACAACUGUCAAUCACUCCAGAUUCACAUGUCGAUUGGUUCAUUUGGCUCUUUUUGUGUAUUUCUGAUUAAUAACUCGUAGCAGCGUACUCCGACUGUAAAAUGGGGAGCUCCUGCGCAAAACGUGUGAAAAAUAUGCACACGUCCCCACCUGCCAAUCAGGAAGGAGUAUUUUCCCAUGGUGUAACAUAAUACAUCGCAUAACAGAUUAUCAGGACAAUUUUCCAGGAUGCAUGUGAAGUGUCAAGUGUCGUAUCUCCGAGAAGUAACCGAUGCUGAUGAAAGUUCUAUAAAAGCGUCAAAUUAAUUGUUAUCAAAAUGCAUGCAUGGAUUUUAAACAUUUAGAUUAGUAAGCUAAGGGCUAAGCCAUGAGGGAGCUGUGUGAGAAAACAUGCUAAUCUGAGAAUAUCAUAAACAGUGAUAUUUGUACUUGUGAUAAUCGUGACAUCGGCACAUGUAUAAAUAUGCAUUUGGGUCUAGUGUGUGUGUGUGUGUGUGUGUGUGUGUGUGUGUGUGUGUGUGUGUGGUAGCUAGGUGUGGUGCUCACCUCUGACAUCACCCCUACAAACCUUCAUGACCUCAUCCAGGGCCAGUCUCCGCCCACUUCUAGGCCCACACUCCUACAGCCCACCCUCUUUUAAGGCCCAUUUCAUCUCCCACUGUCACAUAAUGCAUUUGUUAUAAGACU
ensembl:lncRNA